rnacentral:rRNA from 1 species
CUAAUACCGGAUAAUUAUUUGAACCGCAUGGUUACAAAGUAGAAAGACGGUCUUGCUGUCACUUAUAGAUGGAUCCGCGCUGCAUUAGCUAGUUGGUAAGGUAACGGCUUACCAAGGCAACGAUGCAUAGCCGACCUGAGAGGGUGAUCGGCCACACUGGAACUGAGACACGGUCCAGACUCCUACGGGAGGCAGCAGGC